CGGCGGAUCUGCUCCUAUAGAUGUCCAGAUUGUUAGACGGUGGGCUUCAUCCGUCCUACCUCGCCCAACCCAGUUGACUAAUAUUUGGGUCGGUGGAGCCCGAAUAAUACAAUAAGAAUAAAACCCAACGACAAAGGCCCUCUCUAACCCGAGUACACCGGCCUCUGGCUUUGUGACAAGCACGUCACUGUUAGGCUAAGCAGAGACUUUGGAACCCCGGUUCUAAAGCUCUCAGAGUGGAAGAGUACCAGGACAUGGGGGUGGGGGUUGGGGCAAAGCUUUGCUCCCUUAGAAUAAUACCAACGUACAGAGUUGCGAUUGGUUAAAAAAUAAAAAAAAAUAAAAAAAAUAAAAAAAAAAAAGAAGUCUUUGUAUUUUAUAUUUGUACAUAUAUUUCCUUUUCUCUGGGGUACAUACUAAGAGAGGAAUUCCUGGAUAAUUCUAUGUCUAACUUUUUAAGAAACUGCCAAACUGUUUUCCAAAGUGGCUGUACCAUUUUACAUUCCCUCCAACAACGUAUGAGGGUUCCAAUUUCCCCACGUCCUCACAAACAUUUGUUAUUGUCUGUCUUUUUGAUUAUAGACAUCCUAGUGGGUGUAAGGUGGUAUCUCUUGGAGUUUUGACUUGCAUUUCCCUAGUGAGUAAUGAUGUUGAACAUUUCUUCAUGUGCUUGUUGGCCUAGACCUUACUUUAAAAAAAAAUAAACUAUUAAGUUUGGGAUAAUUUUAGAUUCACUGAAAAGUUUCAGAGAUAACACAGGGAAUUCCCAUUUACCCUUCACUCAAUUUCCCCUAAUAUAACCUUUAUGUUACCUGGCACAUUUGUGCCAACAAUGGAACUGACAUUGAUAAAUUACUAGUAACCAAACUCCAGACUUUAUUUAGAUGUCAGCAGCUUAUAAUACGAAUGUGCCUGAUAUGGUUUGGCUGUGUCCCCACCCAAAUCUCGUCUUGAAUUGUAGUUCCCAUAAUCCCCACAUGUCAUGGGAGGGACCCGGUGCAAGGUAAUUGAAUCAUGGGGGUGGCUACCCUCAUGCUGUUCUCAUGAUAGUGAGUUCUCAUGAGCUCUGAUGGUUUUAUAAGGGUUUUUCCCCCUCCUUUUGCACGGCACUUCUCCUUCCUGCUGCCAUGUGAAGAAGGACAUGUUUGCCUCCCCUUCCUCCAUGAUUGUAAGUUUCCUGAGGCCUCUCCAGCCAUGCUGAACUGUGAGUCAAUUAAACUCGUUUUCUUUAUAAAUUACCUAGUCUCGGGUAUGUCUUUAUUAGCUGCAUGAGGACGUACUAAUACGGUGCCUUUCAUCCAGGACCCCGUACCACCUAAUAUUUAGCUAUGUCUUCAUGGGCUUCUCUGGUUUUCGUCAGUUUCUUAGACUUUUCUUUUUCAUGCUCUUGGUAGUUUUGAGGGGUAUUGGUCAGGUAUUUUGUUGGCAUAUGUUGUAUGAAUAAGAGCUUCCGUAUGUGAUAAGGUUUCUCUCUGUGGAUGACAUAGCCAUGGGGUCGCCUGCUGCCUCCCGGUUACCCAUACAAACCAUGGAAACAGGAAUGGGUGACAGCCCCACGCUCCCCUGCUGUGAGCCUCCAAUCCCCUGGCUGGCUAAACAGCAGCACCAGCUCCUCCUUCUGUCCAGCCGGACAGAGAGCCUGGAGGAAGCUGGAGUCUGGGUUUCAGUGGCUACAGACAACCCUCCAAAUGGUCAGUUAAGAACCAGGGCCACAUUGUGAGUGGACACUUUCACACUCUGCAGGUGACCACGCAAAGUGGUAGAGCAACUUAUUUUAUUUUUGUCAUUCUUUUGAGGCAGGGUCUUGCUGUGUCUCCCAGGCUGGGGUGCAGUGGCAUAAUCACUGCAGCCUUGACCUCCCACUUUGUUACCUGUUUCCGACGGUGUGACCCGAGUGCGCUUCGUUACCCGUUUCUGAUGGCAUGACCCGACUGCACUUUGUUACCUGUUUUGAUGGUUGUUUCUGAUGGCGUGACCCAACUGUGCCUCGUUACCCGUUUCCGAUGGUGUGACCUGACUGUGCUUUGUUACCUGUUUCUGAUGGUUGUUUCUGAUGGUGUGACCCGACUGUGUUUUGUUACCUGUUUCCGAUGGUGUGACCUGACUGCGCUUUGUUACCUGUUUCUGAUGGUUGUUUCUGAUGGUGUGACCCGACUGUGUUUUGUUACCUGUUUCUGAUGGUUGUUUCUGGUGGUGUGACCCAACUGCACUUUGUUACCUGUUUCUGAUGGUGUGACAUGACUGCGCUUCGUUACCCAUUUCCGAUGGUGUGACCUGACUACGCUUUGUUACCUGUUUCUGGUGGUGUGACCCAACUGUGAUUUGUUACCUGUUUCUGAUGUUUGUUUCUGAUGGUGUGACCUGACUGCUUUGUUACCUGUUUCCAAUGGCGUGACCUGACUGAGCUUUGUUACCUGUUUCUGAUGGUGUGACCUGACUGCUUUGUUACCUGUUUCCAAUGGUGUGACCUGACUGCGCUUUGUUACCUGUUUCCGAUGGUGUGACCUGACUGCUUUGUUACCUGUUUCCAAUGGCGUGACCUGACUGCGCUUUGUUACCUGUUUCUGAUGGCGUGACCUGACUGCGCUUUGUUACCUCUUUCCGAUAGCGGGAUCUGACUGCAUUUUGCAUUCAUGGGGGCACCGUCUGGCAAGGUGAGCUUGUCAGGGAGAGGCCGUAGCCCUCACCACCGCUAAUGACUGGCUACCACACAGAGGUUCCAGGCAGAGUCUAGCUACUGGAGCCAACCAGCGUGGCUUCGGCCAGUUAACAGACCACUUCUUGGAGUCAUGAGGAUUAACUCAGUGAGCCCAUGGAAAAUGCACAAACUAAGCCCUCAAUAAAUAUAGCCUGAUGAACUGCCAUUCUGCCUAUCCGAAUUCUACCCUAAGAUAGAUAAUCAGAGAUGCUAGGAGAAAACAUGAGCAUGUGAGUGGCUAAGAGUAUGGAUUCUGGAGUCAGGCAACCUGGGUUCAAGGCCUGCUGUAGUAUUACCCAAACUUGGGCAAGUUUGUUCAUCUUCUGAAGAGAGCUUCAUUUCUCACCUGGACCUGUAUCCGUAAUAACUGUAUGCAUAUCAUAGCACUGUCAUGAGGAUUAGAUGAGUUAAUACAUGUCGAAUGAUUGGUGCAUAAUAAAUGCUCAAUAAUUGUGAGCUGGCAUUACCCAUUCCAUUGUAUGUGGCAUGACAAUGUGAAACCACUUAAAUCAUUGACAAUAAAGAAAGGGUUAAACAGUCUGCAGUGCAUCCAUGUGAGGGGAGGUUAUGCUGUCUCUAAGUUAUCUAGAAAGAUUUUUACUGACAAGAGAAUAUUAAGUGAAAAGAUCCAUACGGUGUUAUAGAUAGUAUGAUUUCACUUCAUUAAAUAUCUAUACUUGGCUGGGCGCUGUGGCUCACGCCUGUAAGUAAUCCCAGCACUUUGGGAGGCCGAGGU
rnacentral:lncRNA from 1 species